CAUGCAAGUCGAACGAGAAAGUUCCUUCGGGGACUAGUAAAGUGGCGCAAGGGUGAGUAACACGUGAAUAAUCUGCCUUCAAAACUGGGAUAACUUGACGAAAGUUAAGCUAAUACCGGAUAAGACCACGCUUCACAAGGAGUGCGGUAAAAGGGAUCUCAAAUCCUGUUUGAAGAUGAGUUCGCGUACCAUUAGCUUGUUGGUGAGAUAACAGCUCACCAAGGCUACGAUGGUUAGCCGGCCUGAGAGGGUGAUCGGCCACACUGGAACUGAGACACGGUCCAGACUCCUACGGGAGGCAGCAGUGGGGAAUCUUGCGCAAUGGGCGAAAGCCUGACGCAGCAACGCCGCGUGAGCGAUGAAGGCCUUCGGGUCGUAAAGCUCUGUCAAGUGGGAAGAACAUAAUGACGGUACCACUAGAGGAAGCCCCGGCUAACUUCGUGCCAGCAGCCGCGGUAAUACGAAGGGGGCAAGCGUUGUUCGGAAUUAUUGGGCGUAAAGCGUAUGUAGGUGGUCUUUCAAGUCAGACGUGCAAGCCCUCGGCUCAACCGAGGAAUUGCGUUUGAAACUGAUUGACUUGAGUAUAGGAGAGGAAAGCGG
rnacentral:rRNA from 1 species